UCAAAUGGAUUGGAGUCGUAUAAUAUAAAUGUUUGGAUUCAGAGCCAAGAUCACAAUAUAUUAUUCCAAACUGAAACUAUUAAUUAAGAAUAAUUUAUUUUUAGAUUUUUUUCAGGUUGGAUCCUGCCUUCCUAAUCUGCAGCUAUUUUAAAAUUUGUAUUUUCCAAUCAUAGACAAAUAUACAUAUCAUCUGUGCUUCAAACCUACUCCGUGAGUAAAUACAUAUGACUCUGCAGACUCCCGCCUCACUCAUCAGCCAUAAUUAUAACUUCAUGGGAAUUAAACGUACCUAGUUCAUAAAAAUAAACAUUAUUUUCAUCCUUUUUUUUUCCUAUGGGAAUAUAGAAAAUCGAUACAGUCUCAAUGAGGUUUACAAUUCGUCUUAUUUCGGAACCAAAUAUAGUUAUCCCAAUGAAUGAAUUACAUUAUUAAUGCAACAUUAAUGGAA
rnacentral:lncRNA from 1 species